rnacentral:rRNA from 1 species
UACGAAGGGGGCUAGCGUUGCUCGGAAUCACUGGGCGUAAAGCGCACGUAGGCGGCUUUUUAAGUCAGGGGUGAAAUCCUGGAGCUCAACUCCAGAACUGCCUUUGGUACUGGGAAGCUUGAGUCCGGGAGAGGUGAGUGGAACUCCGAGUGUAGAGGUGAAAUUCGUAGAUAUUCGGAAGAACACCAGUGGCGAAGGCGGCUCACUGGCCCGGUACUGACGCUGAGGUGCGAAAGCCAGGGGAGCAAACGGG